rnacentral:rRNA from 1 species
GAUGAACGCUGGCGGCGUGCCUAAUACAUGCAAGUCGAGCGAACGGACGAGAAGCUUGCUUCUCUGAUGUUAGCGGCGGACGGGUGAGUAACACGUGGAUAACCUACCUAUAAGACUGGGAUAACUUCGGGAAACCGGAGCUAAUACCGGAUGAUAUUUUGAACCGCAUGGUUCAAAAGUGAAAGACGGUCUUGCUGUCACUUAUAGAUGGAUCCGCGCUGCAUUAGCUAGUUGGUAAGGUAACGGCUUACCAAGGCAACGAUGCAUAGCCGACCUGAGAGGGUGAUCGGCCACACUGGAACUGAGACACGGUCCAGACUCCUACGCGAGGCCGCAGUAGGGAAUCUUCCGCAAUGGGCGAAAGCCUGACAGAGCAACGCCGCGUGAGUGAUGAAGGUCUUCGGAUCGUAAAACUCUGUUAUUAGGGAAGAACAUAUGUGUAAGUAACUGUGCACAUCUUGACGGUACCUAAUCAGAAAGCCACGGCUAACUACGUG